CGAAAAGAUUAUUGUAUUUGACUAUAUUCACAGCGUAAAAUAGGGGAUUGCAUUCUUUUUAAACGGAAAGUGAAUCAAUUAACAUAAUAGACUCCU
rnacentral:pre_miRNA from 1 species